rnacentral:rRNA from 1 species
GGGAAAUCUUACCGGGUCCGGACGUAUCGAGGAUUGACAGAUAGUUAUACAUGCCCUACAAGCAAGUAGGAGUCAGGUUUUAAACCUAAUGGCUCUUUCAUGAUUAUAUGAUAGGUGGUGCAUGGCCGUUCUUAGUUCGUGGAGUGAUCUGUCUGCUUAAUUGCGUUUCAAAUUUUUAACCGAGGACCGGGUUUUGGUUUGGCUAGUGGUCCUACGAUGACUGUGAACUGUCAUGUCUUCGGAUGUACGACUAUCGGUCUAGGAUCACAUGACUUGCCCCUGGGACUCUUUUGAACGCAACGGACGUGAUUGCAACCCCUUGUUGAGAUUAGAGAUAGUCUCGAUAUUCACUGGCCAAACUGGCUGCUUUAUGCAGUCUUGUUGAAUGGUGGAUAAACUCGGGGGACUGCUGACUAUAACCAUUUCUCAAAACAGAGGAAGGUUGCGGCAAUAACAGGUCUGUGAUGCCCUCAGAUGUCCCGGGCUGCACACGUGCUACAAUGAGUGGCGCAAUGUGCUAAUGUUUUAAGGGAUAAGCGUGCGGCCAGUAGAACGUCGGCAAUUGCCCUGGCGUCUUCUACCGCACGAUUAUCAGCCUUCCCUUAACAGGGCGGGCAACCUUUUCAAAAUACCGGUUUGAUGUUAAAGUAUA